ACUAAGCGUACACGGUGGAUGCCCUGGCAGUCAGAGGCGAUGAAGGACGUGCUAAUCUGCGAUAAGCGUCGGUAAGGUGAUAUGAACCGUUAUAACCGGCGAUUUCCGAAUGGGGAAACCCAGUGUGAUUCGUCACACUAUCAUUAACUGAAUCCAUAGGUUAAUGAGGCGAACCGGGGGAACUGAAACAUCUAAGUACCCCGAGGAAAAGAAAUCAACCGAGAUUCCCCCAGUAGCGGCGAGCGAACGGGGAGCAGCCCAGAGCCUGAAUCAGUGUGUGUGUUAGUGGAAGCGUCUGGAAAGGCGCGCGAUACAGGGUGACAGCCCCGUACACAAAAAUGCACAUGCUGUGAGCUCGAUGAGUAGGGCGGGACACGUGGUAUCCUGUCUGAAUAUGGGGGGACCAUCCUCCAAGGCUAAAUACUCCUGACUGACCGAUAGUGAACCAGUACCGUGAGGGAAAGGCGAAAAGAACCCCGGCGAGGGGAGUGAAAAAGAACCUGAAACCGUGUACGUACAAGCAGUGGGAGCACGCUUAGGCGUGUGACUGCGUACCUUUUGUAUAAUGGGUCAGCGACUUAUAUUCUGUAGCAAGGUUAACCGAAUAGGGGAGCCGAAGGGAAACCGAGUCUUAACUGGGCGUUAAGUUGCAGGGUAUAGACCCGAAACCCGGUGAUCUAGCCAUGGGCAGGUUGAAGGUUGGGUAACACUAACUGGAGGACCGAACCGACUAAUGUUGAAAAAUUAGCGGAUGACUUGUGGCUGGGGGUGAAAGGCCAAUCAAACCGGGAGAUAGCUGGUUCUCCCCGAAAGCUAUUUAGGUAGCGCCUCGUGAAUUCAUCUCCGGGGGUAGAGCACUGUUUCGGCAAGGGGGUCAUCCCGACUUACCAACCCGAUGCAAACUGCGAAUACCGGAGAAUGUUAUCACGGGAGACACACGGCGGGUGCUAACGUCCGUCGUGAAGAGGGAAACAACCCAGACCGCCAGCUAAGGUCCCAAAGUCAUGGUUAAGUGGGAAACGAUGUGGGAAGGCCCAGACAGCCAGGAUGUUGGCUUAGAAGCAGCCAUCAUUUAAAGAAAGCGUAAUAGCUCACUGGUCGAGUCGGCCUGCGCGGAAGAUGUAACGGGGCUAAACCAUGCACCGAAGCUGCGGCAGCGACGCUUAUGCGUUGUUGGGUAGGGGAGCGUUCUGUAAGCCUGCGAAGGUGUGCUGUGAGGCAUGCUGGAGGUAUCAGAAGUGCGAAUGCUGACAUAAGUAACGAUAAAGCGGGUGAAAAGCCCGCUCGCCGGAAGACCAAGGGUUCCUGUCCAACGUUAAUCGGGGCAGGGUGAGUCGACCCCUAAGGCGAGGCCGAAAGGCGUAGUCGAUGGGAAACAGGUUAAUAUUCCUGUACUUGGUGUUACUGCGAAGGGGGGACGGAGAAGGCUAUGUUGGCCGGGCGACGGUUGUCCCGGUUUAAGCGUGUAGGCUGGUUUUCCAGGCAAAUCCGGAAAAUCAAGGCUGAGGCGUGAUGACGAGGCACUACGGUGCUGAAGCAACAAAUGCCCUGCUUCCAGGAAAAGCCUCUAAGCAUCAGGUAACAUCAAAUCGUACCCCAAACCGACACAGGUGGUCAGGUAGAGAAUACCAAGGCGCUUGAGAGAACUCGGGUGAAGGAACUAGGCAAAAUGGUGCCGUAACUUCGGGAGAAGGCACGCUGAUAUGUAGGUGAAGUGAUUUACUCAUGGAGCUGAAAUCAGUCGAAGAUACCAGCUGGCUGCAACUGUUUAUUAAAAACACAGCACUGUGCAAACACGAAAGUGGACGUAUACGGUGUGACGCCUGCCCGGUGCCGGAAGGUUAAUUGAUGGGGUUAGCGCAAGCGAAGCUCUUGAUCGAAGCCCCGGUAAACGGCGGCCGUAACUAUAACGGUCCUAAGGUAGCGAAAUUCCUUGUCGGGUAAGUUCCGACCUGCACGAAUGGCGUAAUGAUGGCCAGGCUGUCUCCACCCGAGACUCAGUGAAAUUGAACUCGCUGUGAAGAUGCAGUGUACCCGCGGCAAGACGGAAAGACCCCGUGAACCUUUACUAUAGCUUGACACUGAACAUUGAGCCUUGAUGUGUAGGAUAGGUGGGAGGCUUUGAAGUGUGGACGCCAGUCUGCAUGGAGCCGACCUUGAAAUACCACCCUUUAAUGUUUGAUGUUCUAACGUGGACCCGUAAUCCGGGUUGCGGACAGUGUCUGGUGGGUAGUUUGACUGGGGCGGUCUCCUCCUAAAGAGUAACGGAGGAGCACGAAGGUUGGCUAAUCCUGGUCGGACAUCAGGAGGUUAGUGCAAUGGCAUAAGCCAGCUUGACUGCGAGCGUGACGGCGCGAGCAGGUGCGAAAGCAGGUCAUAGUGAUCCGGUGGUUCUGAAUGGAAGGGCCAUCGCUCAACGGAUAAAAGGUACUCCGGGGAUAACAGGCUGAUACCGCCCAAGAGUUCAUAUCGACGGCGGUGUUUGGCACCUCGAUGUCGGCUCAUCACAUCCUGGGGCUGAAGUAGGUCCCAAGGGUAUGGCUGUUCGCCAUUUAAAGUGGUACGCGAGCUGGGUUUAGAACGUCGUGAGACAGUUCGGUCCCUAUCUGCCGUGGGCGCUGGAGAACUGAGGGGGGCUGCUCCUAGUACGAGAGGACCGGAGUGGACGCAUCACUGGUGUUCGGGUUGUCAUGCCAAUGGCACUGCCCGGUAGCUAAAUGCGGAAGAGAUAAGUGCUGAAAGCAUCUAAGCACGAAACUUGCCCCGAGAUGAGUUCUCCCUGACUCCUUGAGAGUCCUGAAGGAACGUUGAAGACGACGACGUUGAUAGGCCGGGUGUGUAAGCGCAGCGAUGCGUUGAGCUAACCGGUACUAAUGAACCGUGAGGCUUAACC
rnacentral:rRNA from 1 species